AACGCUGUUCGCAGGCCUAACACAUGCAAGUCGAACGGUAACAGGAAGAAGCUUGCUUCUUUGCUGCCCAGUGGCGGACGGGUGAGUAAUGUCUGGGAAACUGCCUGAUGGAGGGGGAUAACUACUGGAAACGGUAGCUAAUACCGCAUAACGUCGCAAGACCAAAGAGGGGGACCUUCGGGCCUCUUGCCAUCGGAUGUGCCCAGAUGGGAUUAGCUAGUAGGUGGGGUAACGGCUCACCUAGGCGACGAUCCCUAGCUGGUCUGAGAGGAUGACCAGCCACACUGGAACUGAGACACGGUCCAGACUCCUACGGGAGGCAGCAGUGGG
rnacentral:rRNA from 1 species